CACUGCAGGGUCAGUAUGGUACUGUAGAGACAGAGACACUGCAGGGUCAGUAUGGUACUGUAGAGACAGAGACACUGCAGGGUCAGUAUGGUACUGUAGAGACAGAGACACUGCAGGGUCAGUAUGGUACUGUAGAGACAGAGACACUGCAGGGUCAGUAUGGUACUACAGAGACACUGCAGGGUCAGUAUGGUACUGUAGAGACACUGCAGGGUCAGUAUGGUACUACAGAGACACUGCAGGGUCAGUAUGGUACUGUAGAGACAGAGACACUGCAGGGUCAGUAUGGUACUGUAGAGACAGAGACACUGCAGGGUCAGUAUGGUACUGUAGAGACAGAGACACUGCAGGGUCAGUAUGGUACUGUAGAGACAGAGACACUGCAGGGUCAGUAUGGUACUGUAGAGACAGUAGAGGGUCCACACUGUACUGUAAGGUGUAUCUACCUGUGUCAGAGGA